rnacentral:rRNA from 1 species
UACGGAGGGUGCAAGCGUUAUCCGGAUUUACUGGGUUUAAAGGGUGCGUAGGUGGAUUGGUGAGUCAGUGGUGAAAUACUUUCGCUUAACGAAGGAACUGCCAUUGAUACUACCAGUCUUGAAUACAGUGGAGGUGGGCGGAAUGCGUCAUGUAGCGGUGAAAUGCUUAGAUAUGACGCAGAACACCAAUUGCGAAGGCAGCUUGCUACACUGUUAUUGACACUGAGGCACGAGAGCGUGGGGAUCAAACAGG